UGUCCCUCAGGACAGCAGGCGCUUGGAGUCCCCCCCAGUUUUAUCUGGUAAAGCGAAUGAUUAGAGGCAUUGGGGCCGAAACGAUCUCAACCUAUUCUCAAACUUUAAAUGGGUAAGAAGCCCGGCUCGCUGUCCUGGAGCCGGGCGUGGAAUGGAGAGCCGCCUAGUGGGCCACUAUUGGUAAGCAGAACUGGCGCUGCGGGAUGAACCG
rnacentral:ncRNA from 1 species